UUUCAUUUAAUCUUAAAGAAAAAGGGCAACAAUGAAAGAAAAAUGGGGCCCUCUUAGUGUAAGAUCGCACCGCGAAAUUCAGUGUUAGAAAAUAAGCGUCGAUUCCGGUUUCGAACACAGGUGCCGCUAUUACGAGAUUAAUAAGCGUGAUCGUAAAUAAUCGCGUGGCACGAUACGAGUUGCGCGCCACUGAUUUAAUGGACGGCCGUUGGCCAGUGUUGGUAAUCGCGGUGAAAAAUCUUUCCUUUGAACGAGCCUGAAUCCGCCGUAAUUUUGUCGUCAGCAACGCCGUCCCUGCCCUUUAAUUACGAUUCGCUCGUCGAUCUCGGAUGAAUCGACGCGAAAAUGCGGCCCCAAUGAAAAACUUCAACGUAUCAAGGUUCAACGACCCUUUUCCCUUGUCUCGUGUCUCGUUAAACGGCACCGUGUAGCCGCGAAGAAGAUUCGCGAAACCUCGAGCCAUACUAUUCUUAGAUUUCUGGAAAACCGUGAAUGGAGAUAGGGUGGAAUCAAAUCAGAUCUCAAAAUGAAUCUUAUAAUCAACGAAUGACUGGAAUUAAAGGUCGUCAUUAAGAAUUGGAUCUCAAAGUUUUUUUGCCAUAGAUAGCCCUUGACCUGGCGAUUCCAAUGGUGGCCAUCCUAUCCCUUACCCCCCCCCCCGGUGUGAUCAAAAACUGAAAAAUGGUUUUUUGCACCGAUCUCAAAACAAAAGAAAACUAACCUAACCUUAACCUAACCUGAAAUGACCCUAUGACUAAUCCAAACUCAGUAAUUUAUAGGUUAGGUUAGUUUUUUUUUGAAAUGAGCUACUCUGAUUGUGAGAUCGGUUCAAAAAACUACUUUUUGGACCAUUAACCUAAAACUAACCUAACCUUAACCUAACCUGAAAUGCACCUAUGACUAAUUCAAACUCAGUAAUUUAUAGGUUAGGUUAGUUUUUUUUUUUGAAAUGAUCUAUUCUGUGCGAUCGGUUCAAAAAACUACUUUUUGGACCAUUUCAAUUUUUGACCCCUGGGGGAGAGGAGGGGCGGAGUUAAGGGAUAGGGUGGUCACCAUUGGAAUCGCCAGGUCAAGGGUUAUCUAUGGUAAAAAUCCAACCCAAAGUACCUGCACUUUAAUGGUAAAACAGUAUUCGUAAUUACUGUAACAGGGAUUACAAUUUAAUUACCAUUUCCAUAAAAACUAAUGACUGGGAAAAUAAUAGCGCUCACUAGGUAUGUGUACUAAUGGAGAAGCUCGUCAAUGAAUAGUGAAUCAAGGUUUGCUUAUUUCCAAAUAGGAGAAGCAAAACUAGCCUAUUAGCGUAGGAAAUAACGCGGCGAUGUACCGUAAGCCGUCGGAGAGCCUUCACGCAUCGUGGAUCGAAGCGAACAGGACACGGAGAACAGGCACGAUCGAUUCGUGGCUCGUUACGGCGUCUGGUCGAAAGAGUGUGCUAUUGAAACCAAGUGAAACUGUUAGGAUAAUGAAUAAGUAAAAGGAAGCUCCUGAAUAAAACGUUGAACGCGAAUGGAAUCCGUUCGAGUCCGUGGUCGCGGCGCGACUAAAUGUUGAUCCAGGACUUUCACUUUGAGAUCCAGCCGGCCCUCGGUCCCUUCUCGAGCCGAUUAUCCCCAGCACGCCCACGCUCUCCACUCUGAAUCACGAUCGAAUUGUUCUUACGCGAAUAAUACCGUUCGUCGAGUGGACAGGAUACGUUCAGGACCAAAGAGAGCACCUUCUCUUGAAGUUAAAGUUCACAAUAUUUUCAGGUAAUACUUUUUAUUAUAAGAAAGAAUAUAUGGAAGAAGAGAAACAUUUUGCAGUUGAAUAUGAUUUAAGGAACAUGAAAGUGAACGAACUGGCGCGUUAGCAACGCCUGAAAUCGCUCAGAGUUUGUUAUCGUAGUUCAUUGAACGAGGAACAGCGAAGGAGGACGAAAAGGAAUCGCUUACGUAAACGCUUUCGUUUGUUUUUCAAAUAUGCACCGGCUCGAUCCUGAUUCAGCACGGAAGAGAGCAUGUGCCUUCCACCAGCUUGCUGCGAUUCGCCUGGCCGAUGAUCAGAUAUUAGAAACUUCGCUUUUCAUUCGCGCUAAGUAAAAAAAAUUCCUUAUAAAGAGGGACCUUGAGGCGAUAAAUGAAAAUUAAUGCUCCCAAGGCAAGGCGGUAACUAACAAAAAAAAAAAUCCACAAAUUGGGAUUUGAACCCUAAUCGUUUUGGUAGUAGGCUAGCGCUCUACCGCUUCAGCCACAGAACUAUUUAGGGAGUUCUCGUUACCUACGUGAUAUACUAGAUACGUGAGAAACUUUAUAUUAAAAUAUCAAAAACGAAGGCCCACCUAGUGCCCAGGCCCCCCUUCAGGGGAUACGAGUCCCACACUGCCCGGGCCCCCUCCAGCCGAAUAGAGUGACAGGGGGACAACCUGCGCGUGCGUAAAUGCAUUUUCAUCUUCUGGAAAAUCAAAAAAAAAAAAGGCCCACCUAGUGCCAUUCGAAAAUCGAUUUCCACACCUGUGCCUUCCCCUUCCAAGAAACGUAAUCGUGGCAGAUUAUAUCGAGUCCCAGCUGUUCACCUCCGCAGGUAUAAUCCAUUCCCUGACUUUCCUCGUUCUACAGUUACUCAGGGGUGAAAGGUGAACCCUCUCCUUUCUACACGCGACCGAACCAGCAGGAGGAUCCGUGGUUAUAUGUACUUGUCAGGAGCUAUUACAACAUCGAGGCUCCGCUUCGUUUUGCCUCGAUCAUCGAGAAUGAAUCCUUGAAAGAAGGUGAUUCACUAGGAGAGUUCAUGUCUGCUUGGAUUUAUAAUAAAUGAAUGUAUCAUUAAAGAAAGAUUCCAUUACAAUUUCAUAGAAAUAUGCAAAUUACCGUAGAAUGUAUUUACAAAAUAUAAAGCUUUGAAAAAGCUCUGAAGAUUAGCCUUGAAGAUUGGCCCAACAGUAAGUUUAGUGGAGGAGUUUGAAGAAUACUAAACUGUAUCCAGAAAUUGUCCUCACAUUCGAAAGAGCAAGUUUCGUGGGCAGACUGAAUAAGGCCAAGGGAAGUGAAAUGAGUGGUUCGAGACAAAGGAAAACAUCGGUUUACUGGAAUCGUAUCUAAUCUCAAUCAUUAUUCCCUACGCGUAUAUACCUGUUCAUUAUUUUCUGCUGCCCUCGACGCGAGUUACCGCGACAAAAGUGACAUCAUAUUCUCUUCACGAACCAGUUCUCAUUGACUUUUAGCAAGGAAAAUACUUUUGAUGUACCUGCGUUAAGAGUUUUACCUUAGGACCAAUCAGAUAGCCGCGCUUGUCUAAUCAGUCCUACUCCGCCAAUCACAGGGCGCGUUACUUCAGCCCCCAGAUUGCAGAUGACCUCGAGUUUGCCAUGUUAGACGCCUCCAUUGUAAUUUGAGAAAAUUUGGAUAGAUAUCAAAUGAAUGGCGGAUCUACCAAAAUACUGAGGGAGUGGAAUAGCUGGAGGCUUAAUUAAAUUCGUCUAGACACCCACGAUGAAGUGAUCAACUUUGCACUAGGGGCAGAGGAGAAAGAGAAGAAGAGGAGGGUCGGCUUUUCUCUUAUGUAAUAGAGACUGAAGUUUCUGCUCAGUGUAGCAUGCAUACAAGCCGCCUCGCUACUUCCAAGCAAAACGGAGGAGGCAUUGUCUCUUCACGUGUUCGACCGAGUUAUCCUCUUUUGUGACCUCCUAAACGAGCUCCAACUUUUCAACUACCCGACCAAGGCGUUCUUCAACGUCCUCCUGAAGUCUUGUUUAAAAAUGAAAAAUGUAGAAAGAACUGGGGAUUUCCAUAAGAUACUAGAUCAUCCUGGAGACCUCAAAAAUGAUCCACACAUAAUUUUAACACUGAUUUUUCUUUUAAUAACUGAAAGUGAAGAAAGAACUGGGGAUUUCCAUAAGAUACUAGAUCAUCCUGGAGACCUCAAAAUGAUGCACAUAUAAUUUUAACACUGAUUUUUCUUUUAAUAACUGAAAGUGAAGGUCUAACAAGUUGAACUGCAGCCUUUCCAAAGUUGUAUUCACGCAUCGAUGCCAGCCAAAACCCGGAAGUUGGGCUUCGAAACCAGUUCGUCACAGCACCGGUGCAACGGUUAUCGAUUAUAUUCUUAUCGCCUCGCGAUUUACCGUGUCAACCUCGGCCCGUCGUUACUAAUUGCCAUUCGUUAUUACAUAAGCCGCAUUAAUUAUUUUUCAACCGGUCAUGACUUCUUCUGUAAUCGUAACUUCCAGUGAGAGGCAAAAUUUUAACACUGGAACUACCAAAUGGAAAAUGACAAUUUUAAAUUAUAGAAUUUAUUAAGUUCCGGUGUUAAAUGAGCAACGUCACUUCUUUAGGAAGUGCUACGAUUUCCUGUUAAUCGCGAUAUUGCUCAAGGAUCGGAAAUAAGGUUGAAGAACCACUGUUCGUGUCGUCUGAACAUCAACCGAGGAAAUUUUUUUUCUGACGUAACGUCAUUACGAAACGAUCAUCGCGAAGAUAACAGCAAAAUAUGUGUGGGAGCGUGUGCAUUAUUAUAUUUUUUUGUUGUUGUUGUUGUUGCAACAACUUUCCAUUACAAAUCAAGCCUUUAGCUAACGCUGGAUGAACUACAUCAAACAAUGUUGUAAGUUUGAUGCAUAUCAAAGUGGAACUAAUUAGUUAACUAUAAAUUAUGAAUUUCUAAUUAUUCUUCUUUUCUGAUGUCGAAGUAAAUUGUGAUUGAUUUUAGUUGAUCCUAAUAUUAACGACGCACUUUUCGUUUAUGAUAAUUAACAAGGAAAGUAACGCAUUAUUUAUGAAACACGGGUCCUGUAAUAAGCCUCGAGGAGAAACUCUUUUCUGAGGCCGACGAUUUAAUGCUGGCGUCCUCGAUUUAACGAGAAAGAACAAUACUGUGAAGAAAAAUGUGCGUUUGCAAUUUUCUGAGGAGAGAAUAUGCGAUUCGUUGAGGAGGCAGAAUGAUGAUCUAUGUUUAAAGCAAUCUAUUUGUUAGUUAAUGGGAUAAUACAGGACUUUUUGUCUUUAUUUAUAACCAAAUAAUUAUUGAUAAUAUAUUAUACUUUGAAGAGGAGGUACAUUCUCAAGGAAAAAAAACAAUAUUCUGUUUUUGUACAAUUCACUGCCGUAUCCUUGUGGUUGAAGAAAAAUCUGUGUAGAUUGUUAAGUGACUUUAGCUGAUUCAAGGACAAACGAGUAUCAUCAGGAUUGCGAGUCAUCCCGGUUCUGUUUUUUUUUUAGCCUUGUCCUUCCGUACCAGACAAUCUUUUCUUACUUAUCUCCUGUUUGAAAUUUAUUUCUGAACUUGUUUUCAGAGAUUUGUUAAUGCACUUUAUACCAGUUGAAACGGUAUUAUAUUUUUAUCUUGAAAAUUAAAUGAAAUUUAAAAGAAGGAACAGUAAGAAUUUAAUUUAGUAGGAGGAAUUCGUUGACACGUUUUCCACAGCAAGUAUUCCUCGCACUUUUACACAUCAUCACGUUUUAUUAGUCUCUCUCAGCGUCCUUUCUCUUCAGGAUAGCCUGAUAUAUAAUUUAAUUGCGUGUAAUGAAAAUUUAAUGCCUCUGUAAUGGAAUUUCUCCAUUGCUCUUUUUUCUCAGGGUCUGUUCUCUAAUUUUUUCAGUUUUGAGAAUUGCAUUAACAUUACCAUAUUUCUUUUUUCAGUGAAUAUUUUUAAAUAAUAAAAAUCUUCAGAAGAAUUAUAAAAUAUGUUAUCGUGAAGUUUCACCAGCCUUAAAUUCCAUCAGAUUAGAAAUACAAAGAAGAAGAAUAGAAAGCACAGUGGUGAACAGAAAGUGAAUGAAUCCUCCUGGGCGUUAAUUUGAUCCCCAAGAAGAAGAAGAAGAAAAAGAAGACCUAGCCUCUGGUGAAGGAAGUUGUUUGUGGUCGAAUGAAUCGGACCUUGGAAAGAGAGUCUUCCCGAGCAGACGGUGUUGGGAACAGCUUAAAAAGAGUCAAUAUCUGUUUCCCAAGGAUUGAAUAUAACGUCCAGAGUGGACCAAUCUAUCAUUUUGCAAGUAUCAAUCCGGUACUUCCGGUUCUAUGCUCUCAAAAACAGCUAGCGAAACGAUACCCUCUCGUUAUGCCUCACUUUCUGAACUCGAUGCUGUAACCAGCCUCUGAAGAAAGGCGUUCGGUCCGAUGAAUUCGAACGGGUCAUCGACACCUCGUCAGAAGGAAGCGUUUGCACCAAAUUGUUUUCAGAGGCACUGGGUACUGUACACUGGAUGCUGCGCGAAACCGUUAUACAACCUACAGCAUACAAGCGGUCUUUGCUCGCCCGGAUUCCCGUUGCCCUGUCCCCGUGUCAUUCUGUCGUCCAACGUACAGCUAAUAGGAAAUUAUAAGCUGCAACAAUGAACCAAACGGGCUGCUUUUCCACAAACAUGAAGACUGGGAAUUGAACCUUCUUCCAAGGAACACUUGGUUCUGCCCAUAUUUUUCUUACUCCUUUGCUUCUUAUCUAUAUAUGUAUAUUAUGUAUAUAAAGACAAAUGUCCUGACGGACUCAUCAACGCCCAGCCCAAACCCCUGAACCUAGAAACAUGAAAUUCGGGUAGUGUAUUCCUCUCAUGACGUAAGCACCCACUAAGAAGGGAUUUUUAGAAAUUCGACCCUUAAAAAUGUAAA